rnacentral:misc_RNA from 1 species
AAUUCUCAAAACCUUUUUCUUAGGGUUUUGGACUUGGAGGUUCAAUGCUCGCUUUCGGGACCCGAAAGCGAGCUCCUCUCAAAUAAAUUAGUGGGGUCUGCUUUGCUGGUCCUUGACGUGAUAAGAUGUUUCGACGUUUUGGACUUGGCACUGUCUCUUGGAUGCCUGCUUCUAACAGUCCGUCUCGUGGACAACGAUGGUGCUCUGGUCUCUCCUCCAUCCACGAUGGUGGGAGGCUGGACCCACAAAUAAAAA